CCUACGGGAGGCAGCAGUGAGGAAUAUUGGUCAAUGGACGAGAGUCUGAACCAGCCAAGUAGCGUGAAGGAUGACUGCCCUAUGGGUUGUAAACUUCUUUUAUAUGGGAAUAAAACGUUCCACGUGUGGGAUUUUGUAUGUACCAUAUGAAUAAGGAUCGGCUAACUCCGGGCCAGCAGCCGCGGUAAUACGGAGGAUCCGAGCGUUAUCCGGAUUUAUUGGGUUUAAAGGGAGCGUAGGUGGAUUGUUAAGUCAGUUGUGAAAGUUUGCGGCUCAACCGUAAAAUUGCAGUUGAAACUGGCAGUCUUGAGUACAGUAGAGGUGAGCGGAAUUCGUGGUGUAGCGGUGAAAUGCUUAGAUAUCACGAAGAACUCCGAUUGCGAAGGCAGUUCACUGGACUGCAACUGACACUGAGGCUCGAAAGUGUGGGUAUCAAACAGGAUUAGAUACCCUUGUAGUC
rnacentral:rRNA from 1 species